rnacentral:rRNA from 1 species
UACGUAGGGUGCGAGCGUUGUCCGGAAUUAUUGGGCGUAAAGAGCUCGUAGGCGGUCUGUCACGUCUGCUGUGAAAACUCGGGGCUUAACCCCGGGCCUGCAGUGGGUACGGGCAGACUAGAGUGCGGUAGGGGAGACUGGAAUUCCUGGUGUAGCGGUGAAAUGCGCAGAUAUCAGGAGGAACACCGGUGGCGAAGGCGGGUCUCUGGGCCGUAACUGGACGCUGAGGAGCGAAAGCGUGGGGAGCAAACAGG